rnacentral:rRNA from 1 species
AUUGAACGCUGGCGGCAGGCUUAACACAUGCAAGUCGAGCGGGGUGAUGGUGCUUGCACUAUCACUUAGCGGCGGACGGGUGAGUGAUGCUUAGGAAUCUGCCUAUUAGUGGGGGACAACAUUUCGAAAGGAAUGCUAAUACCGCAUACGUCCUACGGGAGAAAGCAGGGGAUCUUCGGACCUUGCGCUAAUAGAUGAGCCUAAGUCGGAUUAGCUAGUUGGUGGGGUAAAGGCCUACCAAGGCGACGAUCUGUAGCGGGUCUGAGAGGAUGAUCCGCCACACUGGGACUGAGACACGGCCCAGACUCCUACGGGAGGCAGCUGUGGGGAAUAUUGGACAAUGGGCGGAAGCCUGAUCCAGCCAUGCCGCGUGUGUGAAGAAGGCCUUUUGGUUGUAAAGCACUUUAAGCGAGGAGGAGGCUACUAGUACUAAUACUACUGGAUAGUGGACGUUACUCGCAGAAUAAGCACCGGCUAACUCUGUGCCAGCCGCCGCAGUAAUAC